rnacentral:rRNA from 1 species
AGUUUGAUCCUGGCUCAGAUUGAACGCUGGCGGCAUGCCUUACACAUGCAAGUCGAACGGUAACGCGGGGCAACCUGGCGACGAGUGGCGAACGGGUGAGUAAUAUAUCGGAACGUGCCCAGUAGUGGGGGAUAGCCCGGCGAAAGCCGGAUUAAUACCGCAUGAGACCUAAGGGUGAAAGCGGGGGAUCGCAGGACCUCGCGCUAUUGGAGCGGCCGAUAUCAGAUUAGGUAGUUGGUGGGGUAAAAGCCUACCAAGCCGACGAUCUGUAGCUGGUCUGAGAGGACGGCCAGCCACACUGGGACUGAGACACGGCCCAGACUCCUACGGGAGGCAGCAGUGGGGAAUUUUGGACAAUGGGCGCAAGCCUGAUCCAGCCAUGCCGCGUGCGGGAGGAAGGCCUUCGGGUUGUAAACCGCUUUUGUCAGGGAAGAAAUCUUCUGGGCUAAUACCUCGGGAGGAUGACGGUACCUGAAGAAUAAGCACCGGCUAACUACGUGCCAGCAGCCGCGGUAAUACGUAGGGUGCGAGCGUUAAUCGGAAUUACUGGGCGUAAAGCGUGCGCAGGCGGUCUUGCAAGACAGGUGUGAAAUCCCCGGGCUUAACCUGGGAACUGCACUUGUGACUGCAAGGCUGGAGUACGGCAG